CCUACGGGCGGCAGCAGUCGAGAAUCAUUCACAAUGGGGGAAACCCUGAUGGAGCGACGCAGCGUGGGGGAAUGAAGGUCUUCGGAUUGUAAACCCCAGUCACGUGGGAGCAAAUUACAAAGAUAGUACCACAAGAGGAAGAGAAGGCCAACUCUGGGCCAGCAGCCGAGGUAAUACGGAGGUCGCAAGCGUGGUUCGGAAUCACUGGGCGUAAAGCGUGCGUAGGCUGUAUCGUAAGUCGUGUGUGAAAGGCGCGGGCGCAACCCCCGAAGGGCAUAUGAUACUGUGAGGCUAGAGUAAAGGAGGGGGAACUGGAAUUCCCGGUGUAGCAGUGAAAUGCGUAGAUA
rnacentral:rRNA from 1 species